GGGGAUGUAGCUCCGUGGCAGAGCCCUUGCCUAGCAUGCAGGAGCCACUGGGUUCAAUCCCCAGUACCACA
rnacentral:tRNA from 1 species